rnacentral:rRNA from 1 species
GAUGAACGCUGGCGGCGUGCCUAAUACAUGCGAGUCGAGCGAAUGGACGAGAAGCUUGCUUCUCUGAUGUUAGCGGCGGACGGGUGAGUAACACGUGGAUAACCUACCUAUAAGACUGGGAUAACUUCGGGAAACCGUAGCUAAUACCGGAUAAUAUUUUGAACCGCAUGGUUCAAAAGUGAAAGACGGUCUUGCUGUCACUUAUAGAUGGAUCCGCGCUGCAUUAGCUAGUUGGUAAGGUAACGGCUUACCAAGGCAACGAUGCAUAGCCGACCUGAGAGGGUGAUCGGCCACACUGGAACUGAGACACGGUCCAGACUCCUACGGGAGGCAGCAGUAGGGAAUCUUCCGCAAUGGGCGAAAGCCUGACGGAGCAACGCCGCGUGAGUGAUGAAGGUCUUCGGAUCGUAAAACUCUGUUAUUAGGGAAGAACAUAUGUGUAAGUAACUGUGCACAUCUUGACGGUACCUAGUCAGAAAGCCACGGCUAACUACGUG